AAAGCCCAGGGAGAUGCAAAGAGCAAUAAAAAUCCGCGGUAACAAUGUUUUUCGAGGUAUACAAGGAUUUAGUUUCAAAGAUAUGGUCAUUUGCUUAUUGGGUCAUUUUUUAUACCUAGCUACGAAGGGGGUAUUAUAACAAUUUUUUUCUGUACAAUAAUUUGAUUAAAGUGUCUUAUGUAUAUAUAUAGUAAUUUGUUAAAGUACCUCUUAGUUAGAUAAGAAAGAGGUAUAUAAGGACUUUAGUUUUGUACCGUUUAGAUAACAUAUAUUUUUCUAGACUACCUGUUUCGUAUAUUGAUUUUUUGUUUGAUAAAAGUACUAAACAUAUGAGAAGUAUAUCCUUUCUUAUAAGACUAGUUUUCUAAUAGUACUCCUCUUCGAAAGUAUGUAAGAGGUUUUAUGUUUGAUAUUCGCCAAAGACGAAUUCGAACCAAAUUACUAUGAUUAGUGCAUUGUUGUGAUGUUUAGUCCAUUCAUUUAUACGACCUUGACUUCCCUUUGACCACUGACCACAUGAAUAAUCUGUGUAAUCCGUCCUUAGUAAUUGAGGAUUUUUCAAUUCAUAAAUAAUUGCCACAACUUCUACUUCAGCUUUCUCCCAGAGUAAAUCUGUAUGAAGGGCCUUGAUUCCCUGCAAAGCUAUCAGCUUCUGUAUGCGAGUCGGAGUCCGCCAUAGCUUGUGAAAGAUCUUGAUGAGAGCUAAAACAAGGAACAGACACAGAGCUUGAAAGGAUGAUCACUAGGCCUUCCAAAGUACUGAUUUUCGUAUCGUUUUCUCUCUGCAGGCAAUGUUACUGAACCUGUAGGAAAUGAGAGCUUUUAGAAUUCCACCGUCAUGUUAAGGUUGCUGCUCAUGUUGAAGUGUCGCAUAUUCUACUCCAUGAAUUUAUAAUUAUUAAUGAAUUUGGAUGCAUAUGGAUUUUUAAUUUUCAAGUCACCAUCUAACUUGUAGAUAUCAAUUGUAAAUUGUAAAUUUUUAUUACGUUCCCUAGGAAAACUUUGGAAGAGACUCUAAGAAAAGACUUAGAGUACUUGGAUUUAACGGAGAACAUGACACAGGACCGAGCCUAAUGGCGUUCUAGGAUUCAUAUAGCCGACCCCACUUAGUGGAAAAAGGUGACACGCCCCGACCCUGAUAUUCCCUGAAUACCAGGAUAGACAUGUGCUGGCCGACACCCGAGGGUGACGAAAGCCAUUAAUUGAUACAAAAGCUAAGGAUAAGAAGUAAAUAAAAGUUAGAAAUUUAAAAUACAAUAAAAUAAUAAUUUAGGAACGUGCUCAGGGCAUACAACUAAACCUAAUCACUAAAAAGAAUUAAGAUAAAAUUGAAUGAAUAAAGAAGUGGGUCCUACAUCAAGAGGAUUCAAAGAUGCUGCUGCGGAAGUGUCUUGACGUCAGGAUUAAGUGCCUUGAUCCUAAGUCCUGAAUGGGGGCGCAAAACAAAGGUGGGUGGACCAAGUUCAUAUAUAUACAUAAUAAUAAAACAGUUAUCAAAGUACUAACCCCCACAAUUUAUAUAAUGAA
rnacentral:lncRNA from 1 species